AGUGAACGCUGGCGGUAGGCCUAACACAUGCAAGUCGAACGGCAGCACAGUAAGAGCUUGCUCUUACGGGUGGCGAGUGGCGGACGGGUGAGGAAUACGUCGGAAUCUACUUUUUCGUGGGGGAUAACGUAGGGAAACUUACGCUAAUACCGCAUACGACCUACGGGUGAAAGCAGGGGAUCUUCGGACCUUGCGCGAUUGAAUGAGCCGAUGUCGGAUUAGCUAGUUGGCGGGGUAAAGGCCCACCAAGGCGACGAUCCGUAGCUGGUCUGAGAGGAUGAUCAGCCACACUGGAACUGAGACACGGUCCAGACUCCUACGGGAGGCAGCAGUGGGGAAUAUUGGACAAUGGGCGCAAGCCUGAUCCAGCCAUACCGCGUGGGUGAAGAAGGCCUUCGGGUUGUAAAGCACUUUUGUUGGGAAAGAAAAGCAGCAGGUUAAUACCCCGCUGUUCUGACGGUACCCAAAGAAUAAGCACCGGCUAACUUCGUG
rnacentral:rRNA from 1 species